rnacentral:rRNA from 1 species
UACGUAGGGUGCGAGCGUUGUCCGGAAUCAUUGGGCGUAAAGCGCGCGUAGGCGGCCCGGUAAGUCCGCUGUAAAAGUCCAGGGCUCAACCCUGGAAAGCCGGUGGAUACUGUCGGGCUAGAGUCCGGAAGAGGCGAGUGGAAUUCCUGGUGUAGCGGUGAAAUGCGCAGAUAUCAGGAGGAACACCUAUUGCGAAGGCAGCUCGCUGGGACGUUACUGACGCUGAGACGCGAAAGCGUGGGGAGCAAACAGG